UGUUGCCAGGCUGGUCUCGAACUCCUGCAAUUUGCUCUCCUUGGCCUCACGAAAUGCUGGGAUUACAGGCAUAAGCUACAGCACCCAGCCCUUACGUUUACUUUUCAUUGACAGGAAGAGUGUCUUCAUCUCUGCAUCCCUAGUGCAACAGAGCAUGACAAAAAUUCAACAAAUAUUUAUUGAAGAGUCUUGAUGUCUUUUGGGAAAGGAACUCUAUGGUUACCUUUACUCUAAGGUAAAGAAAUUUAGGUCCUGAACUUUAACCACCUUCUCCUCUUCUUUCUUCCCUCUUUCAUAAAUGAGCUCUUGGAAAAUUAAAAUGCCAGGAGGGUCCAGCAGAGAAUACCCAAGCCCACAUGUCCUGAUGGGAAGUGGGGGAUAAGUAGAGAGGGAAACACAGACCCUGUAGGCCAUCUCACUGCUGCUGGCCCAGGGGACCCUAACUCCUUUUGUUGACUCAUCAGAAGUAGAAUCCUCCUGAGGGUCUGUUUAAGAAGCACAGCUCUGGUAGAAAGGGUAGCUUUCCUAUGGGUACGGAGGGCUCUGCUACCCCAGGGCUAUCCACACUGGCCUGUGAAUCACUCUCAAAUGCUUAGGGUCACGGGCUUUCAGUGGAAUGAGCCCUCAUGUGCCACCAGGGGGCACCAAGGCCACAGAAAACCCUAUUCAGAAGGUUCUGGGGUGAGGGAAAGGAAUCCACGGGUUUGUGGAGCUGGCGGAGCAUGGGUGAGGACAGCAUUAUGCUAGGUUGGUGGCCUUGAAGUCAGAUGUAAAUUGGGAUCCUGGCUUGGCCACUGACUAUCCAUGGGAACUUUGAAUCUCAGGGGGCUCAUUUGUGAUGUGGGGGUACCAUUAUCUGCCUCAUCAGGUUGUGGGGAGGAUUAUAUGAGAUACCUUAUGUAAGAGGGGCUGGUGCAUUGUGGAAGUCAACAAGUAAGUUUUGUUAAAUUUGAGUAAGAAGACCUGUUUGUUUCCUCAAGUUGCUUAUAAUCUAGGUGAGGACACAUCUGAGAGAAUAACUAAUAGUUCAGUGAAGGUAAGAGCCAAAUGAUUGGCACAGACCUCAAGUGGUCUGGCAUUUACGGGAGAGGGGGAUUGUGAAACAGGAAUUGAAAGAAAUUUAAAAAUGCAUAAGCAAAAACUCAGUUUAUGUUUUAAAAAAACCAAUUCCCCCUGAGAAAAGGGUCUCUCGGUCCUCACAGCAUUUUUGAAGUAGCUAACAUCACUAUCCCCCUUUUACAGUUAAAAACAACAACAACAACAACAAAAACACAAAACCCUGAGGCUCAGAAGAUAAAUAUUUGCUGAAGAUCACUGUGCUUAUUAGAUGGGUGUUACUGAUUCUUACCUCAGAGAAGAGAAUGUCAUGGAGACAAAAUGACCUGCUUAGAGUUCUGCACCCCCCAGCAUGGAGAGCAGAGCGCAAAGAUUUCUUCCGGACUCCCACAUUCCCCUUGGAAUCCAAGAACUGGUCUACUGUCACAACACUUUAGUACCCUCUUGUAAGCCUGUGGACAAAUCCUCUGAUGCCUUGAUACCUCGGUUUUCCCCCACUAUAAAUGGGAAGAUAAAUUCACUAGAAACAGUACUUACCUUGCAGUGUCAUUAUGAGAAUUUCAUGAGACAAUGCAAUAUAAAGCUCCUAGCACAGUUCCAGGCACCAUUGUAAGCACUGAACAAAUGAAAGCUGUUGUCAUUAGGAUCUCAAGAAAUGACAGCUGAGGCAAAUGUGGAUUAGACUGCAUUCAGCAUUCUUAGCUGCAAGCAACAGAAGCUGACGCUGGUUUAAAGCUCCCAAGGAGGCAGCAGAAACUGGGGUAAUCACAACGGUCAACAGCAGCAAAGGCAGCACUUUCUGAUUUACUUGACUGCUAUGGAUGCCACCUCUCUCCACGCCUCAGUUUAAUAUCUGUAAGUUUGGUCAGUAUCUCAUUCAAGAACAUUGCAUUUACUCUGGUACUUAAAGAUGAAAAAUCAACAUUUACAAAGCAGAUCCAUUGUCA
rnacentral:lncRNA from 1 species